UAAAUCCAGCAUUAGUAGCACAUCCUAGCC
rnacentral:piRNA from 1 species